AGCUAUAGACAUAUAUCCCAUCAAGUUCAUGCCCGGAUAAAUUAUUUUCUUACGUACUUUUUUGGUCCAUCCACUUCCCUUAUAAUCAUAAAAGAGCUAUGUAAUGAGCACACUAAUAUAUAUGGGAAGACACUCGUAUCCCACCAACCACAUGCACGAAGAAAUUUGCAUGAGAACUCAAUGGUCAGUAUUAGCUUAGAGACUUCCGUUGUGGGGUCGGAGGUGGCGGGCGCGGUCUCCAGCAAUAGCUAGAGUUUAUUGAGGUGGCGGCGGCAGUUGCCAUGGUGGUUGAGGUGGUGGGAGUGGGCCUUCUCGGCGGGGUCGAGCAGGUGCUGAGAUAACAAGAACAACCAUGGAUAAUAACAAAGGAGCAGGGAGAAGAUCAUACCCGGGAUUUUUCGGAUAGAUACAUCCAGGUUUCUGAGCUGAAUCAAUGAGUCUCAUCAACAUAAGUUACAUAGCCCAUCCAGAUUGCAUGCAUUGCACGGCGGAUGUGAAGAAGUAGACCAUUAUCUCGGCAUUAAUGAGCCAAGCUGGUAUUUGCAGUGAAUCCCCUGGGUAUUCUUUGAGAGACUGGACGAGGAAUCCUCCAGAGAUCUUCUUAAGACUUACUAGGAAUAGAGGUGGAGGUCGUUCUGCUUCCGGCAAAGUCGCAGCUCCCGAUGGCCUGACAUUUCUGCUGGAAGUAACUAACUGUUCACGGCGUAGUCGCAGUGGUUCUUGAUGGUGUUUGGCUGGCAGCAGGCUCCGUUCGGGCAGAUGGGGCUGCAUUCUGCCCCGGCCCGACAAGCAUAGCCCGGGGUUCGCAUCAGAACUUGAUCACUCAGCCCUUGUUUAAACAUGACACAGUACGUCGCACCUAAUCAAACCCAAAGCUAAGCCCAGUGAUUAUUAGCAAGGGAAAAAAAUGGUCGUGUUUUUGCAAUUUCAGGCCAGAUAACAAAGACGAAUUUACCCAAAGACAGCCCGGUGAGGGCCAAUAGGAGCAGAGACAGCAGCAGAAGUGCCAUAAGAGCUGAAAGUUUUUUCUGCAGGAAGAGAGUGUCAAGAGUUGGAAAAAUCAAUGCUAUACCAUCGAGGAAUGAUCUAAGGGGGAAGAAGAAAAUCAAUGCUAUACCAUCGAGGAAUGAUCUAUUCGGGGCCACCUUGGGGUCGUAAGUGGCUCGCUCAUGACGAACUGAUCUUAUGCUCGUAGAGGUUCCCGAUUCCUAAACGCUUAACAGCUUGACUGAAUAACUUUUUAGAACCGGAUAUAUCCGGUUUAAAUUUCGCUUGUUCGAUAAAGAUUUUUAUUUUUACUGGAUUGCUCUAAUCUAUGACUAUAUAAGUUUGUUUUAAUAUUAUGUUGAUCGUUAAAAGGAACAAUAUAUAUUUGAGAAUGAUGAUAUAUACAUAAUUAUAUCAUUAUCGAACACCUCAUAUAUACUUGUAAAUUGUAAUUAGUAAUAUUCAAGUAAUCUUAUUAUUACCUAUGCAUGGCUCGAGUUUGAGGUAUUAUUACGAGUAAUCUUAACAUUAACAACCGCCCGAGUUUAAUAAUGGAUUUAUUCCAAAAAGUGGGUCAAUUUUCCCAUCAUGAAAUAAGGGUUGGGCUAGUGAUUUGAAGUUAUCAUUAGCAAUUGAAGUAGAGCGUUCUAAUUAUCUAAAAAAUUAGGCCAAAUUGACAUCUGAAAAGAAUUCAUUUUAAUUAAUAAAAUGAUGAUACUCGUGUCUGACCAAAAAAAAAAAA